UGGGGAAUAUUGCACAAUGGGGGAAACCCUGAUGCAGCGACGCCGCGUGAACGAAGAAGGUAUUCGUAUCGUAAAGUUCUGUCCUAUGGGAAGAUAAUGACAGUACCAUAGAAGAAAGCUCCGGCUAAAUACGUGCCAGCAGCCGCGGUAAUACGUAUGGAGCGAGCGUUGUCCGGAAUUAUUGGGCGUAAAGGGUACGCAGGCGGUUUAAUAAGUCGAAUGUUAAAGAUCGGGGCUCAACCCCGCAAAGCAUUGGAAACUGAUAAACGUGAGUAGUGGGGAGGGAAGUGGAAUUCCUAGUGGAGUGGGGAGAUACGUAGAUAUUAGGAGGAAUACCAGUAGCGAAGGCGACUUUCUGGACGCAAACUGACGCUGGGGUACGAAAGCGUGGGGGGCAAACAGG
rnacentral:rRNA from 1 species